GGAUGCGAUCAUACCAGCACUAAAGAGCACCGGAUCCCAUCAGAACUCCGAAGUUAAGCGUGCUUGGGCGAGAGUAGUACUAGGAUGGGUGACCUCCUGGGAAGUCCUCGUGUUGCAUUCC
rnacentral:rRNA from 1 species